rnacentral:rRNA from 1 species
AUUGAACGCUGGCGGCAGGCCUAACACAUGCAAGUCGAGCGAGCGGCGGACGGGUGAGUAAUGCCUGGGAAUUGCCCAGUCGGGGGGGAUAACCGUUGGAAACGACUGAUAAUACCGCAUACGAUUGGCUUGCCCAUGUGGGUUUAGCUAGUUGGUGGGGUAAUGGCUCACCAAGGCGACGAUCCCUAGCUGGUAUGAGAGGACGAGCAGCCACACUGGAACUGAGACACGGUCCAGACUCCUACGGGAGGCAGCAGUGGGGAAUAUUGCACAAUGGGGGAAACCCUGAUGCAGCCAUGCCGCGUGUGUGAAGAAGGCCUUCGGGUUGUAAAGUACUUUCAGCGAGGAGGCGUUACCUGCAGAAGAAGCACCGGCUAACUCCGUGCCAGCAGCCGCGGUAAUAC